rnacentral:misc_RNA from 1 species
GCUCCGAAACACAUUAAUGAUCCUUCCGUAGGUGAACCUGCGGAAGGAUCAUUAAUGUGUUUCGGAGCCUGGCACGCCCAUCUCUACUUGGGAUGGGUGUGGCAGCGCCCCCACACGUGUUUACUGAACUUUGUUGCCUUGGUAGGCCUGCCGUUCUGGCUGCCAGGGGCGCCUAACCGUGCCCUCGGCGUGUGCCUACCAGUGGAGCAUUUGAACUCAAGAGAAGAUUGAAUGUCUGAGCAUUUAUGCAAAUUAUACAAAACUUUCAACAACGGAUCUCUUGGUUCUGGCAUCGAUGAAGAAC